GAGACUAGGACGAGAGAUACAGGAUUCCCCUAGUACGGCGAGUGAAGCGGGAUGAGCUCAAAUUUAAAAUCUGGCUGGUUUACUAGUCCGAAUUGUAGUUUAUAGAAGCGUUUUCGGUGGCAGCCUGGGUAUAAAUCCUUUGGAAUAGGGUAUCAUAGAGGGUGAGAAUCCCGUCUUUGACUCAGUGCAUGCUACUAUGUGAUACGUUUUCAAAGAGUCGAGUUGUUUGGGAAUGCAGCUCAAAAUGGGUGGUAAAUUUCAUCUAAGGCUAAAUAUUGGCGAGAGACCGAUAGCGAACAAGUACCGUGAGGGAAAGAUGAAAAGAACUUUGAAAAGAGAGUUAAACAGUGCGUGAAAUUGUUGAAAGGGAAACGCUUGACACCAGUUAUGCGGGUGGAAAAUCAGUCUUUUGCAAUGGGGAGUUGUGGGCGUUCAGACCGCAAGGCUGGCGUUUGCUUCAUCUUUGUUGUAAGUGAUGCACUUUUUCAUUUGCAGGUCAACAUCAGUUUGCUUUGCUGGACAAAACCCCAAGGGAAGGUGACAGCUUAGGCUGUGUUAUAGCCCUGGGGCGAUACAGUGGAGUGGACUGAGGUUUCGCAGUGUGUGCUCUCGGGCAAGGCUGACUGGGUGCUAUGGGAUCGUUCGGCGUACAAUGCAUGCAUUUUGCGUCGUGUCUUUUUCAUACUCGCUCAACUCGGCUCUUCCACGCUUAGGAUGUUGACUUAAUGGUUUUAAUCGACCCGUCUUGAAACACGGACCAAGGAGUCUAACAUAUAUGCAAGUGUUUGGGUGGCAAACCCAUGCGCGUAAUGAAAGUGAACGUAGGUGCCAUCCGCAAGGUGCAGCAUCGACCGAUCUUGAUAUUUUUGGAUAGAUUUGAGUAAGAGCAUAUAUGCUGGGACCCGAAAGAUGGUGAACUAUGCCUGAAUAGGGUGAAGCCAGAGGAAACUCUGGUGGAGGCUCGUAGCGAUUCUGACGUGCAAAUCGAUCGUCAAAUUUGGGUAUAGGGGCGAAAGACUAAUCGAGCCAUCAGC
rnacentral:rRNA from 1 species